ensembl:lncRNA
GUUUUCAGCCUUUCCUGUGAGCACAUUCAGCUUUUAAAGAUUCAAACAAACAACUUUCAGACUAGGAGCUAAAAUCUACAGCAAUCAUGAUCUUGGAAGAAGCUGGAUUUUUUGGGGUGGGUUUGAUUCUGUGUCUCUCAGGUGUUAAUGGAGGAGAAACCAGGAUCUGUGCUCUCAAAGGUUCAUCGGUGAAUCUGCACUGCUCACAUCAACAUCUGACUUCAAGCAGGAAAUGGUUCACUGUACACUUGAAUGGAUCAAUGAGUGAGCUUUCUGUGGAUGGACAACGUGUAACGUACAACAUGUCUGAAGAGAAAAACCCAACUUUAACCAUCAAUGAUCUAAGAGAGAGUGAUGCAAACACUUACUGCUGUAUGAAGACUACAGACAGUCCAGGAAACUGUUCAGUCAGUAAUAUUACUCUUCAAGUUGUUACAGAGCUGCAGGUAAAGGUGAUUCCUGCCACAGAGGGACAGACAGUAACACUGAUGUGCAGCAGCAGCUGUCCUCUGACUGAAAAGCCUGCAGCCUACAUCUGGUACAAGAACAGAGAGUUUCUCUAUGAGGACUGGU